CAAACAGGUUGGGGGAGGAAGAGAGCUCCCUAACCCUCACUCAAACUUCACCUCUCAAUAACUUUUGAUCCGGAGCUCCGAUUGAUGAACCGUUUGUGACUACACGUUCACCGCGACGAGCUCUACGAAACACAUGGAACAAUUUGGUUCAAGUUAGCUUCCGGGACUUAUGGGUUCAAGCUAUUGAGCAUAUGGGUAUGAUGCAGGUCGAGAGGCUCCUCGCUAGGCGUCUGGAUCCUGGGAAGCGAAGUAGUCUUUGGGUGUAUUUUGGUUUUUUAUUUGUAUAUAUGUAUAUAUGUAUUUAGCUUAUUCUCCAAGUAACUUAUGUAUGCUGCUCCUCUUAGAGGUUCAGGGAGAGAUAGGAGUUUAUUUUGGUAUUUUGGUGUAUUUUGGGGAUACCUAUGUAUGUUCUUAUAUAUAUAU